rnacentral:rRNA from 1 species
AACGAACGCUGGCGGCGUGCUUAACACAUGCAAGUCGAACGGUAAGGCCCCAGCUUGCUGGGGUACACGAGUGGCGAACGGGUGAGUAACACGUGGGUGACCUGCCCCGCACUUCGGGAUAAGCCUGGGGAACUGGGUCUAAUACCGGAUAGGACCGCACCGUGAGGGUGUGGUGGAAAGUUUUUCGGUGUGGGAUGGGCCCGCGGCCGAUCAGCUUGUUGGUGGGGUAAUGGCCUACCAAGGCGGCGACGGGUAGCCGGCCUGAGAGGGUGGACGGCCACAUUGGGACUGAGACACGGCCCAGACUCCUACGGGAGGCAGCAGUGGGGAAUAUUGCACAAUGGGCGGAAGCCUGAUGCAGCGACGCCGCGUGGGGGAUGACGGCCUUCGGGUUGUAAACUCCUUUCACCAUCGACGAAGGUUUUCUGACGGUAGAUGGAGAAGAAGCACCGGCUAACUACGUG